rnacentral:lncRNA from 1 species
GAAUUAAAAGAAGAACAUAAAAUUCAUCAAUAAUUAAAAAAAAUUAAAAUCAGAAUUCCAUCUUUAAAAAAUAAUAAAAAUCUAUCCCGUCUGGGAAGAAAGCAAUAAAGAGGUGGAAAUAUUUCGGCUGUUGAUGUUGUUCGUUGGUCUGGGCAAUUUUGUUUCUGUCUCCAAACAGAAACACAAGCAGAAGCAAAAGAAGAAAAUCAUUCUUGAAUCAGUUCAUCAAUCAAUCAGGUAACCGCAGUUAAUUUUUUAUUUAUUUAUGAAUUUCUGUUUGAAUUUCGAUUCUAAUUCGUUUGUCAGAGGUUUAAAUCAGCGCGCAACUUAGCUUUUUGCUAGCUGCGAUUAUAUCUCUUUAGGAUUUUCUUUAUUGCUCUAGUCCCCUUUCGUGUGGAUUUUGCUGGUUAAUAAGACGUAAUCUGGCGAUGAUUGAUGCACGUUUCGUGGAUUUUCUAUAGCUGGGAGAUUACGUUGUGAACUACUGCAGAUAGACUGUUGUUACGUGCAUAUAACUCAAAAUUACUUGUGCGUUUCGUAGAUCCUGACUUACCUUCUCGUUUAGGACGUCAAUUUUGGCGUGGUUAGUUGGUAAUUUGCUUAAGUUCUUCGGAGAUCAUACCAAUGGUCUUCAACUUGCACGGUAUUUGGUCAUGGAAUUGUGAGUAGGGAAUGUUUUGAAGCUCGCUAUCCAAUUCUGAGUACUGUUAAAUAUCCAACGUCAUGAAUGUCACUUCCAGUUUGGUGUUGAAAUUUGAUAGAGAUGGUGUUCAAAACACACAGGUGUUUGGGGAUGGCAAGCUUGUUUUUAUUUUGUUUAAUUUUUGUUUAUAGCUCAUUUGUUAGUGGAUUAGAUAAAAGGAGUUGAUGUAGGUUAUCAAUUAAGGGAAUCUCAGAAGGGUGGAGGGGAGGGGGGAUUGGGGAAGUAAACCUACUUGUUCACUUUAUCUUUUAUCCCAAUUGGAUAGAUCUUUUUUCCAUUAUUCUUGUGAUGCUAGGCAGGGAUGUGAAGGAUAGGGCUACUAUUGCGGGCAUCAAUUUCUGACACAAAUGUAAAAUCGAAAUUAAUGAUCAGUAAUGGAGUGGAGAAAAGACUGAACUUGGGUUUGCAUUAGAUUUUUACCAAUGAUUUGAGCCUGUUGGGCUGAAACUCCUUUAUGUUGCUGUCGAAGAUGAUAUGAUUGCUGUCAAAAAGCAUUGGUAACAUUACAUAUUUCUUCAAUCCUCAGAUAUAAGGUACUAGAACGUAAGAAAAUAAUACUAGAAGGAAGUAGCGGACAGAAGUCAAAGAAACUAGAUGAGUAGUCGGAUAUUUUUGGCUUAUAUAUAACUGAAAAUAUGAAAUUUUACCUAGUUAUGCAGUUUUCCCAUGUAACUUUCAGAUGCAAGGUGUCUUAGACUAUCUUCUCCAAACAGCUACCUCAGUUUACUGAUGUGGGGAGGAGAAGUGAAACCUGUUACCUGUAACCUACAGCUUGAAGUUUCUUGUAAAAUGAUAACGGUUUGUGUUCCUUACUGCACCUGCAUGACUUUAGGUUAAUAACAAGAUAUUUGGGCGAGUAUUUUAGGAAUAUUGGACACAUGAUAAUCUAAUGGGGGCAAUUCUAUUUUAUGUAGUUGAAAUAAGUAGUUAGAUGAAAGUUGUUCGAUUGGGUCUAUCUAAUGCAUUGAGAUUAGCUAUUUCUUUCUCUUUCUGUUGGUAGAAUUUGACCCUAAGAGCUGCAUGUAGCUGCCCAGUUAUUUAAUGAUGUAAGCUACAGCCAGAGAAAAGUUUGUUUUUUUUGUUUAUUGACCGGAUAUAUCUGCUCAAGACCAUUCUCAAAGUUGCCCUAAAUUACUGAACUGUUACCUGUUCUUUUUAUGUUUUUGAGAGAGAGAGAAAAAAAAAGUGAGAUGUCAAUAUCAGGAGAAGCAUGUUUUAGAAAUUGCAAGUCUGUUUGCUAGGUACGGUGAGUGGUAUUGGUAUUGAGCUUUGUCAAACUUAUUAAAAGACUUAUGGCUGCAUAUGAACAGUAUAUAUAUGUAGUGAAGCUGCUUGAGUAAUACAUGAAAAUUAAAACUGAGAUUAUCGGCAGUAUUGAGCUUAAUAUACAUAAUUCAUGUUGCUUGAACGUUAGUGUGGGUAUAAGGUCUAAAUCCGACACUUGACACACAUGUUAGGCAUGAUGACCUAGAACUAGAGGUUACAGUAUAUGAUAACAUAAAGACAAUGAUUAAGAUUACAAGUUUAGGAGUUAAAAAACAAACAAAAAAAUUGGUUAUUGAAUGUCCAAAUAUUUGAGUAUUUUUUGUAUUAACAAAUACUCAAAU